rnacentral:lncRNA from 10 species
CUUUUGUUAAUUUUGGUCAUACCCUACAUUCCUGGUAAAAACUAAAGAAGGAUUACUGGAGAGGGACGAUGAAAAAGAAAAUGAAUUAGCAAUUUGGUUUUUAAUUCUGUGUUUCUAUAUGAGUGAUACAUAUUCAUGCUAGUUUAAAAAAAAAAAUUCUCAAAGUAACUACAGCGGGAAUGUAGUAAGGUCACCAGAAGAAAUGUCCUGGGUCCAUUGGCCCAAUCUCUUACUGCUGGAUGAUGCGUGUGAAGAAACCAGAGAGGCGCAGAGUGAGGCAGUGAGGAAAUAAAAAUAGAGUCCGCGCUUUCAAGUGUUUCCUGAUCUGCUGGGGAAAAUGGUCAUAUUAACACAUGGAGUCAUGGCACAGUGUGUGCUAAGGAUCAUGGUAAAGGUGUACACAGUGAUUUGCUAACAAGAGGGAUAGAAGGUGUGGCUCAGGGAAUGACACAGCUGUCUGAAAGAGUCAAAAUGUACCACAGAGAACGUGACAGAGAUCUGGAUCUCAAAGAAAUGAGAGGUUGCCUAGGGAGCAACAACAAGGAGGGCAUUCCUGGCAGAGGAAAUGGCAUGUGCAAAGAGACAUCAAGAGGAUGAAGCAUUAGAAAUAUAACUAAAUUAUGGUUAUAGCUUGGGUGCCUAUUAAUAGAUCUGCUCAAUAUUAGGCAAAAACAAUAACAAUUGAGAAUUUGUAUAUCAUCUUUGGUGUCUUCUUUGAUAACUUAUUUUGUGUAUGUGUGUUUUUCUUUCCUGCUACUACUCUGGAGACUUGUUCCACUGGUGACCUUUAUGCAUUCUAAACAAUCGUAAUUUCACAGAGUAAGUUGUUCUCUUCUCCCUAUGUGUUUUGUCACUAGCCAUUGUUUUAAAGUAGCUUGCUUGGUUUUUUGUAUUGCAUCUUGUGAAAGCCUAGAUGCCUAGGGGCUUUCAUACAAAUGUAGAAGUCAAAAUACAUUUCUUCUUGGAAGGUAAUAAAGUGUGAAUGUUUUCAACAAAUAAAG